rnacentral:siRNA from 1 species
AGGCCCGGUCCGUCGCUGAGGACG